GAAGUAAGAGUUCAGAGGUAGAAUGUUGGACUUUUAAUCCAAGGGAUCGGGGUUUGAAUCCCUGUUGCCACA
rfam:Asian citrus Psyllid, Diaphorina citri - Florida Strain, whole genome shotgun sequence.